UGGUGGAGUGUGAUUUCACGGCAGAAGCCUGAAAAGCAGAGGCUCUGGAGCAGCGACUCGGAGAGACGGAGUGGCAAUUCAGCGCGAGGCUGACAGACCCGGGGUGCAAGCAAGCCACAUGGGUACUGGAUAAUGGCUUUGUCAGAAGAAACACGUUAUUGUGCCAACAAAUCUGGUAACUUCCUUUAAAACCAAAUUAGCAACAGCUCUGUUACACUUGAUGAAACCGCUCAUAAUGGUAGCAGCUCAACCGCAAACAACUUUAACAUUUGAAAUAACAUUGAUGUUUCAGCAUCUAAAAACUGUGUCAACAGUUGUGCCAAUGGUCCUCUCUAACUUGACGUUUGACACCCACAGUGGGUAUGCAGUCGCAGUGGGGCAAAAUAUCACUGGAAACGGAGCUCUUCACCACGGUAUGCCAGCUUCUGAUCCUUCAUGUCACCUUUGAGGCUGGCAUCAGCCACACCCACCAGCUCAGUGACGACUCCCCUGCCUUCCAGACCUUGAACCACCUACAGCUGGCGGAGAGCUACGGUCGGCAGUACUGCUUCCUUCAUACCCAGGUCUUCCAUCAGUACAGCACUGGUUGCAGCUUUAACAUCUCAGUCACUGUAUAUUCUGACAAGGGGGUAGUAAAUGCAACAUUACCCAAAGAAUUACGGGUUUACGAGCCCAUAAAGAAUGUCUUUCCGUCAGUGUUUGGGGACCAAGUUAUCCCUUCCGGAGUCAAUACUACCUUGUUGAUCAAUAGCUACGCGGAUAGGACUGGGUCUUCUGUCAGUUGGAACAUCAGAAAGGACAACUAUACAAUACAACCACUUCAGACUGGUCUCUGACACAUGCAUUUCAAGACACAGGGUUUUAUAUACUGCAGGCUGUAGCGUCCAACCCUAUCAGUGACGCCUCGUUUUAAGACUGAACUAGUGGUCCAGGAUGUUAUCUCAGUAGGCUAAAUCCGGAGUGCAUACCUAGUGGUACCCUAGUCACUGUCAGUGCUAGAGUGGUCACUGGAACAAAUGUCACUUACACAUGGAGCUUUAACAUAAACUCAAGCAUUAUUACUGAUGGGUCACAAAGUGCCCAUGUGUAAAGUCAUCCAGGUGCUUAUUUGGUUACUGUCAAAGCAGAAAAUAAUGUAUUGUCCUUAGUGAUGGCCUGGAAUUCACAGUUCAAGAUCUGGUUGGGGACUUUGUAGUUGACAUACCAGGUAUGGUGACCGUGAAUCAUCAUCCAACAAUGUUUUUUGCUUUGCUGUCUGGGACCAACGUGACUCUGGAGGUUUUUACCAAUGGCACCCUUAUUUUCAAUCGCAGUAGCUAUGUGAAUGGGAACCCAGUGAGCAUGGAUUUUAUUUUCAAUCAGAUGGGAUGUUUGCAAGUUGUGGUUAGAGCCUCCAAUCGUGUGUCGUCUUUCAGCAGUACUACAGUAACCCUUGUGGUCAAAGAGAUACAUGUGGUAACAAAAGAAACUCCACAGCAGCCAGUGCUAGGAGAGAGCAUCAUGGUAAUGGUUAAUGGCAAGUAGAGUGUCUGUCACUGAUAUUCCUUUACCAGCCAAAACACCUUCUAGCAUUGUAGCAAAGUGGUUAAUAGUGUGCAGGUGCAGGUGAUUAAAGAACAGACAGACAAUUGUAAUCCAGGUGAAAAGGUUUGUUUUUAUUUGUUUUGUCCAGUGCCUGACGGCGAAACAAACAGUAAAUAAUAAUGCUGGUAAGUAAUACAGCAACGAGUAUUACUUACAUUUAUAAUCCCCAAGCUGUUCCCAAAAUAAUAGUCCCGUUAUUGUAUCCCCACAUUAAACACAAAACACAUACACAAGUCCCUUUAGUGUGUGAAUUAGUGUUUGUGGUACAAUACAAGUUACUGUGAAACAAGUGAAGUGCUGUUCCCGGUUUGUGCUGGCCUCUGGCGACAGCUCCGGAACGUGUUGGCUGUCUAGUGAUAAAAGUAACAAAUAGACAGAACAAAACAAAACACUCACGGUUAUCUCCACAACAAACACAGGUCCUUCCGGGUCACUUUAUAAUAACCAAAACGAAGGAACAGAUAACAUUGCUUUGACCCCUAUUUAUACCGUCACUCAUGACCCCUUGGUACACAAUUGCAGCUGUGUUUUAUGAUCUGCAGCUGCCACACUAUUUCUCCUCUGGGUCAAUGAGUUAGUGUACCGAAGCUCCGUCUCUUUUCUACGUGACCGACUUCUAUGUAAGCCUCGGAACGAAGUGUCAGGCCAAGUAGUCCAGGGUACUCUGUUCCCGUUACUUAGUACCCUCACAGGUCGAGAGGGAGAUUUACCACCAAGAAUCAUUGUCUUUCUGUCACAAGCAUCUAUAAUAACCAAAACUUUAAUUUGGCUGGCAUGUAGCUGUUUGUCAGUGACUCUCACAUCUCUUAUUGUUAUUGUUUCAGGACAUCUGUGGACAAAUGGAAGUUAUAUUUAUUACUGGACCCUGCCC